rnacentral:rRNA from 1 species
UACAGAGGUCUCAAGCGUUGUUCGGAAUCACUGGGCGUAAAGGGUGCGUAGGCCGCACGGUAAGUCAGAGGUGAAAUCCCGGAGCUCAACUCCGGAAUGGCCUCCGAUACUGCCGUGCUCGAGGACUGGAGAGGAGUCUGGAAUUCACAGUGGAGCAGUGAAAUGCGUAGAUAUUGUGAGGAACACCAGUGGCGAAGGCGGCUUUCUGGGCCUUACCUGACGCUGAGACGCGAAAGCGUGGGGAGCGAACCGG